rnacentral:rRNA from 1 species
GUGAGGAAUUUUCCGCAAUGGGCGAAAGCCUGACGGAGCAAUGCCGCGUGAAGGAUGAAGGCCUAUGGGUUGUAAACUUCUUUUCUCAGAAAAGAAUUAUGACGGUAUCUGAGGAAUAAGCAUCGGCUAACUCUGUGCCAGCAGCCGCGGUAAGACAGAGGAUGCAAGCGUUAUCCGGAAUGAUUGGGCGUAAAGCGUCUGUAGGUUGUUUAAAAAGUAUUCUGUCAAAGAUUAGGGCUUAACCCUAGAUAGGCAGAAUAAACUUUUAAGCUAGAGUUUGGUAGAGGCAGAGGGAAUUCCCGGUGGAGCGGUGAAAUGCGGAGAUAUCGGGAGGAACACCAAAGGCGAAGGCACUCUGCUGGGCCAAUACUAACACUGAGAGACGAAAGCGAGGGGAGCAAAUGGGAUUAGAUACCCGAGUAGUCC